UAUUGCAGGCACAACUGGGUCAGAUUCUCCCAGCUCUACCAAGGACCACAAUGACUCCCAGAAUUCCAGGCCACUGCACUCUUAAAAGGAAGAAGAUACAACCUGUCAACAAAUCUCCAUCCUUGUCAUUAUUCUGCUUCAUUCUCCAAAAGCAUCUGGGCUGAAUGAUACUGGACACAAGAAGUGGAAUGUUCAGGAGCAAGAACAGAAAAAUCAAAGUGAACAUCUUUGUCCUACUAGAAGCCUGAUGGAUCCUCCCCCGUGCUGUAGGAAUCUUGGACACUGUCUUCCCUGGGGCUCUGCAUCUGAUGUUUAUGGACAAGAGAGGACCCUAAAGACCGAGAUCUGGAUGUGCUGUAUUUCUUGGUUCCUGGAUCCUGGACACUGGACACUGGAGGUAGAACGAGCAGAGUUUUCCAGAGAACACCGCCGGACUGCGACAUACCUUUCUCAGAC